rnacentral:rRNA from 1 species
CCUACGGGUGACAGCAGUCGAGAAUCAUUCACAAUGGGGGAAACCCUGAUGGUGCGACGCCGCGUGGGGGAAUGAAGGUCUUCGGAUUGUAAACCCCUGUCAUGUGGGAGCAAAUUAAAAAGAUAGUACCACACGAGGAAGAGACGGCUAACUCUGUGCCAGCAGCCGCGGUAAUACAGAGGUCUCAAGCGUUGUUCGGAACCACUGGGCGUAAAGCGUGCGUAGGCUGUUUCGUAAGUCGUGUGUGAAAGGCGCGGGCUCAACCCGCGGACGGCACAUGAUACUGCGAGACUAGAGUAAUGGAGGGGGAACCGGAAUUCUCGGUGUAGCAGUGAAAUGCGUAGAUAUCGAGAGGAACACUCGUGGCGAAGGCGGGUUCCUGGACAUUAACUGACGCUGAGGCACGAAGGCCAGGGGAGCGAAAGGGAUUAGAUACCCCAGUAGUC